rnacentral:misc_RNA from 1 species
CUUGGCUGGGGGAGUGGGGGCCUUUCUGGGAUAGAUUUUUCACCUGUCCUGGCGAUCCAGGUAUUCAAAUGCUAGAGUGGUAGAUUUCGAGGAGACAGAAAUUGUGCUUUUUGGUGAGAAUUUGUAUGAUGUCUUAUGAGGAGUUUCUUCUGUCAGGGAAUGCACAUGUUGAAAGGUGGAGCUUGAGAUGCAUAGUUUUCUGAGAUCAUUUUAUGGUUUGUUGAAUUUUUACGAUUGCUUUCCUUUGUCUUUGUUGUAAAAAUUUUUAAGCACUUACCUCAACUUAGUUGUUAGGGUGCACUGCUGAGUGCUAUCUUGACUUUCAACACUUUUCUUCCCUUUUUCCUUUUCCCUUUUUCCCUUUUCCUUCACAGCUUGCUUUUGGGGGGUAAGUAUUGUUUACAUUUGUGU